GAGUUUGAUCCUGGCUCAGAUUGAACGCUGGCGGCAUGCCUUACACAUGCAAGUCGAACGACGCUAGGGGCAACUCUAGCGAGUGGCGAACGGGUGAGUAAUACAUCGGAACGUGUCCUGUCGUGGGGGAUAACCAGUCGAAAGAUUGGCUAAUACCGCAUGACCUCGUAAGAGAAAAGCGGGGGACCGCAAGGCCUCGCGCGAUUGGAGCGGCCGAUGUCGGAUUAGCUAGUUGGCGGGGUAAUGGCCCACCAAGGCGACGAUCCGUAGCUGGUUUGAGAGAACGACCAGCCACACUGGGACUGAGACACGGCCCAGACUCCUACGGGAGGCAGCAGUGGGGAAUUUUGGACAAUGGGCGCAAGCCUGAUCCAGCCAUGCCGCGUGCGUGAAGAAGGCCUUCGGGUUGUAAAGCACUUUCGGCCGGAACGAAAUCGCCCGGGUUAACAGCGCGGGUGGAUGACGGUACCGGAAGAAGAAGCACCGGCUAACUACGUGCCAGCAGCCGCGGUAAUACGUAGGGUGCGAGCGUUAAUCGGAAUUACUGGGCGUAAAGGGUGCGCAGGCGGCUCCGCAUGUCGGGCGUGAAAUCCCCGGGCUUAACCUGGGAAUUGCGUCCGAAACUAUGGAGCUGGAGUGUGGCAGAGGGAGGUGGAAUUCCACGUGUAGCGGUGAAAUGCGUAGAGAUGUGGAGGAACACCGAUGGCGAAGGCAGCCUCCUGGGCCAACACUGACGCUCAUGCACGAAAGCGUGGGGAGCAAACAGGAUUAGAUACCCUGGUAGUCCACGCCCUAAACGAUGAUGACUAGUUGUUGGAGGAGUUAAAUCCUUUAGUAACGCAGCUAACGCGCGAAGUCAUCCGCCUGGGGAGUACG
rnacentral:rRNA from 1 species